UACAGAAAUCACCACACAAGUUCCUACAACCACCACGAGUAAAAAUCAAAGAGUGCAGCAAGAGUUUAUUGAGUGGCUGAAAUCCAAGAACCUGUACGAGCUGUACAGUGGAAGAAGAUAAAGACGCAGGUGAUCCCAUUCACAUCAAACCAGCUUUAAAGCCAAAGAUUUUGGACUGUUUUUCUGUUAUUAUGUAUUUUCAUGUACUCUUACAGUCCUGUGUAGCAAUUAAAUAGCGUAAUUUCAUUCAUAACAAUAAUACAAUUUUGUUUGAUGAUAAAUAGUGGUGAUCUAUAUAACUAUUUUUAAAGGGUUCUUUGAUUUUUUCCUAUCAUAGAAUAUAAUAUCCAAAACAGGCAAUGGACCAUUUUGUCACUGUAAAAAAUACUUUUUAGAAUUUUUCAUGCAAUGUAAAGAAUAAUGUAUUAAUUUGCAAAGCAAGUGUUUUAAUCUUUGAAAUGGUGCUUUAAGUUGAAUAUUUUUUAUUAACCCUCAACUUUUACUUGUAAAGACUUGCCACCUCUUUUUUACAAGUGUGCGGUGAUAUUCAUGUAUUCUUUCUUUUUAAUUUUCCCAAUGUAUUCUGACACUUAACAAUAAAACUGUCAAUGUUAA